rnacentral:rRNA from 1 species
GCGCGAAAACUUUACAAUGCUGGCAACAGCGAUAAGGGAACCUCGAGUGCCAGGUUACAAAUCUGGCUGUCGAGAUGCCUAAAAAGCAUUUCAUAGCAAGGGCCGGGCAAGACCGGUGCCAGCCGCCGCGGUAACACCGGCGGCUCGAGUGGUCACCGUGAUUAUUGGGUCUAAAGGGUCUGUAGCCGGCCGGAUAAGUCUCUUGAGAAAUCUGGCAGCUUAACUGUCAGGCUUUCAGGAGAUACUGUCUGGCUCGAGGCCGGGAGAGGUGAGAGGUACUUCAGGGGUAGGGGUGAAAUCUUGUAAUCCUUGAAGGACCACCAGUGGCGAAGGCGUCUCACCAGAACGGACCUGACGGCAAGGGACGAAAGCUAGGGGCACGAACC